GCCGGGUGCGGUGGCGCGCGCCUGUAAUCCAAGCUACCGGGAGGCUGAGGCUGGCGGAUCGUUUGAGCUCAGGAGCUCUGAGCUGCAGCGGACUAUGCCGAUCGGGUGUCCGCACUAAGUUCGGUAUCGAUAUGGUGCUCCUGGGGGAGCCCGGGACCACCAGGUCGCCUAAGGAGGGGUGCACCGGCCCAGGCCGGAAACGGAGCAGGUCAAAGCCCCCGUGCCGCUCAGUAGUGGGAUCGCGCCUGUGAAUAGACGCUGUAGUGCAGCCUGAGGAAUACAGCGGGACCCAGUCUUUU
rnacentral:SRP_RNA from 1 species